AUUGAACGCUGGCGGCAUGCUUUACACAUGCAAGUCGAACGGCAGCGCGGGCUUCGGCCUGGCGGCGAGUGGCGAACGGGUGAGUAAUGCAUCGGAACGUGCCCAGUAGUGGGGGAUAGCCCGGCGAGAGCCGGAUUAAUACCGCAUACGACCUGAGGGUGAAAGCGGGGGACCGAAAGGCCUCGCGCUAUUGGAGCGGCCGAUGUCGGAUUAGCUAGUUGGUGGGGUAAAGGCUUACCAAGGCGACGAUCCGUAGCUGGUCUGAGAGGACGACCAGCCACACUGGGACUGAGACACGGCCCAGACUCCUACGGGAGGCAGCAGUGGGGAAUUUUGGACAAUGGGGGCAACCCUGAUCCAGCCAUGCCGCGUGCGGGAAGAAGGCCUUCGGGUUGUAAACCGCUUUUGUUCGGGAAGAAAUCCUCUGGGCUAAUACCCCGGGGGGAUGACGGUACCGGAAGAAUAAGCACCGGCUAACUACGUG
rnacentral:rRNA from 1 species